GGUAUGGAUCCGAAGCCUCUAGAAGGAUAAUAUAGGCACUCCAUACCCCACUCCGACUCAAUANNN
rfam:Anopheles funestus strain FTMOZ unplaced genomic scaffold supercont1.817, whole genome shotgun sequence.